AACGAACGCUGGCGGCAGGCUUAACACAUGCAAGUCGAGCGCCUCGCAGGAGGAGCGGCAGACGGGUGAGUAACGCGUGGGAACGUACCCUUAUCUUCGGAAUAGCUCUGGGAAACUGGAAGUAAUACCGAAUGUGCCCUUAGGGGGAAAGAUUUAUCGGAUAAGGAUCGGCCCGCGUUGGAUUAGCUAGUUGGUGGGGUAAAGGCCUACCAAGGCGACGAUCCAUAGCUGGUCUGAGAGGAUGAUCAGCCACAUUGGGACUGAGACACGGCCCAAACUCCUACGGGAGGCAGCAGUGGGGAAUAUUGGACAAUGGGCGCAAGCCUGAUCCAGCCAUGCCGCGUGAGUGAUGAAGGCCUUAGGGUUGUAAAGCUCUUUCACCGGAGAAGAUAAUGACGGUAUCCGGAGAAGAAGCCCCGGCUAACUUCGUG
rnacentral:rRNA from 1 species